rnacentral:ribozyme from 14 species
CAAGCAACGAGAAAAAAAAAAAAAUCCUCCAGAAAGAGCAGCUGCUAUUGACUUUUAUUUUUCAUUGUCAUUCGUACACUAUGAUAAUAUCAUUUGCUGCUACUCCUCUUUCCUUUUAAUUUGCUAAUCAUCAUGGUCUACAAGAACGAGAGAGGGAGACCAGUUGUACACCAUUUUA